rnacentral:rRNA from 1 species
GAUGAACGCUGGCGGCGUGCCUAAUACAUGCAAGUCGAGCGAACGGACGAGAAGCUUGCUUGUCCGAUGUUAGCAGCGGACGGGUGAGUCACACGUGUAUAACCUACCUAUAAGACUGGGAUAACUUCGGGAAACAGGAGCUAAUACCGGAUAAUAUUUUGAACCGCAUGGUUCAAAAGUGAAAGACGGUCUUGCUGUCACUUAUAGCUGGAUCCGCGCUGCAUUAGCUAGUUGGUAAGGUAAAGGCUUACCAACGCAACGAUGCAUAGCCGACCCGAAGGGGUGGUCGGCCACCCGGGAACUGAGACACGGCCCAGACACCUGCGGGGGGCAGCAGUAGGGAAUCUUCCGCAAUGGGGGAAAGCCUGACGGAGGAACGCCGCGUGAGUGAUGAAGGUCUUCGGAUCGUAGAACUCUGUUAGUAGGGAAGAACAUAUGUGUAAGUAACUGUGCACAUCUUGACGGUACCUGAUCAGAAAGCCACGGCUAACUACGUG